GAUGAACGCUGGCGGCGUGCCUAAUACAUGCAAGUCGAGCGAACGGACGAGAAGCUUGCUUCUCUGAUGUUAGCGGCGGACGGGUGAGUAACACGUGGAUAACCUACCUAUAAGACUGGGAUAACUUCGGGAAACCGGAGCUAAUACCGGAUAAUAUUUUGAACCGCAUGGUUCAAAAGUGAAAGACGGUCUUGCUUUCACUUAUAGAUGGAUCCGCGCUGCAUUAGCUAGUUGGUAAGGUAACGGCUUACCAAGGCAACGAUGCAUAGCCGACCUGAGAGGGUGAUCGGCAACACUGGAACUGAGACACGGACCAGACUCCUACGGGAGGCAGCAGUAGGGAAUCUUCCGCAAUGGGCGAAAGCCUGACGGAGCAAAGCCGCGUGAGUGAUGAAGGUCUUCGGAUCGGAAAACUCUGUUAUUAGGGAAGAAAAUAUGUGUAAGUAACUGUGCACAUCUUGACGGUACCUAAUCAGAAAGCAACGGCUAACUACGUG
rnacentral:rRNA from 1 species